CCUACGGGAGGCAGCAGUGGGGAAUAUUGGACAAUGGGGGGAACCCUGAUCCAGCCAUGCCGCGUGUGUGAAGAAGGCCUUUUGGUUGUAAAGCACUUUAAGCAGUGAAGAAGACUCUUCGGUUAAUACCCGGGGACGAUGACANUAGCUGCAG
rnacentral:rRNA from 1 species